rfam:Lactobacillus graminis DSM 20719 NODE_43, whole genome shotgun sequence.
GAAACCUUUAAAAUCGGUCCUGUGAGGCCGAGAAGGUACGGUGAAAGCAACGCUAGACGUCAAGUCGCUAACUGUAACCUCUCGACCUUAUCGGUUGAGAGGUUUUUUGUU